GACGAACGCUGGCGGCGUGCCUAAUACAUGCAAGUAGAACGCACAGUUUAUACCGUAGCUUGCUACACCAUAGACUGUGAGUUGCGAACGGGUGAGUAACGCGUAGGUAACCUGCCUGGUAGCGGGGGAUAACUAUUGGAAACGAUAGCUAAUACCGCAUAAUAUUGAUUAUUGCAUGAUAAUUGAUUGAAAGAUGCUAUUGCAUCACUACCAGAUGGACCUGCGUUGUAUUAGCUAGUAGGUGAGGUAACGGCUCACCUAGGCGACGAUACAUAGCCGACCUGAGAGGGUGAUCGGCCACACUGGGACUGAGACACGGCCCAGACUCCUACGGGAGGCAGCAGUAGGGAAUCUUCGGCAAUGGACGAAAGUCUGACCGAGCAACGCCGCGUGAGUGAAGAAGGUUUUCGGAUCGUAAAGCUCUGUUGUAAGAGAAGAACGGGUGUGAGAGUGGAAAGUUCACGCUGUGACGGUAUCUUACCAGAAAGGGACGGCUAACUACGUG
rnacentral:rRNA from 1 species